AGUGAACGCUGGCGGUAGGCCUAACACAUGCAAGUCGAACGGCAGCACAGUAAGAGCUUGCUCUUACGGGUGGCGAGUGGCGGACGGGUGAGGAAUACAUCGGAAUCUACUUUUUCGUGGGGGAUAACGUAGGGAAACUUACGCUAAUACCGCAUACGACCUACGGGUGAAAGCAGGGGAUCUUCGGACCUUGCGCGAUUGAAUGAGCCGAUGUCGGAUUAGCUAGUUGGCGGGGUAAAGGCCCACCAAGGCGACGAUCCGUAGCUGGUCUGAGAGGAUGAUCCGCCACCCUGGAACUGAGACCCGGUCCAGACCCCUACGGGAGGCCGCAGUGGGGAAUUUUGGACAAGGGGCGCAAGCCUGAUCCAGCCAUCCCGCGUGGGUGAAGAAGGCCUUCGGGUUGUAAAGCCCUUUUGUUGGGAAAGAAAAGCAGCAGGUUAAUCCCCCGCUGUUCUGCCGGUCCCCAAAGAAUAAGCCCCGGCUAACUUCGU
rnacentral:rRNA from 1 species